GGUUAAGCGACUAAGCGUACACGGUGGAUGCCCUGGCAGUCAGAGGCGAUGAAGGACGUGCUAAUCUGCGAAAAGCGACGGCGAGGUGAUAUGAACCCCUGACCCGUCGAUGUCCGAAUGGGGAAACCCAGUGCAAUCCGUUGCACUAUCGUUAACUGAAUACAUAGGUUAACGAGGCGAACCGGGGGAACUGAAACAUCUAAGUACCCCGAGGAAAAGAAAUCAACCGAGAUUCCCCCAGUAGCGGCGAGCGAACGGGGAGCAGCCCGGAGUCUGAAUCAGCUUGUGUGUUAGUGGAACGGUCUGGAAAGUCCGACGGUACAGGGUGAUAGUCCCGUACAUGAAAGCACACUUGCUGUGAACUCGAAGAGUAGGGCGGGACACGUGGUAUCCUGUCUGAAUAUGGGGGGACCAUCCUCCAAGGCUAAAUACUCCUGACUGACCGAUAGUGAACCAGUACCGUGAGGGAAAGGCGAAAAGAACCCCGGCGAGGGGAGUGAAAAAGAACCUGAAACCGUGUACGUACAAGCAGUGGGAGCCUCUUUAUGGGGUGACUGCGUACCUUUUGUAUAAUGGGUCAGCGACUUAUAUUCUGUAGCAAGGUUAACCGUAUAGGGGAGCCGAAGGGAAACCGAGUCUUAACUGGGCGUUAAGUUGCAGGGUAUAGACCCGAAACCCGGUGAUCUAGCCAUGGGCAGGUUGAAGGUUGGGUAACACUAACUGGAGGACCGAACCGACUAAUGUUGAAAAAUUAGCGGAUGACCUGUGGCUGGGGGUGAAAGGCCAAUCAAACCGGGAGAUAGCUGGUUCUCCCCGAAAGCUAUUUAGGUAGCGCCUCGUGAACUCAUCUUCGGGGGUAGAGCACUGUUUCGGCUAGGGGGCCAUCCCGGCUUACCAACCCGAUGCAAACUACGAAUACCGAAGAAUGUUAUCACGGGAGACACACGGCGGGUGCUAACGUCCGUCGUGAAGAGGGAAACAACCCAGACCGCCAGCUAAGGUCCCAAAGUCAUGGUUAAGUGGGAAACGAUGUGGGAAGGCACAGACAGCCAGGAUGUUGGCUUAGAAGCAGCCAUCAUUUAAAGAAAGCGUAAUAGCUCACUGGUCGAGUCGGCCUGCGCGGAAGAUGUAACGGGGCUAAACCAUGCACCGAAGCUGCGGCAGCGACACUAUGUGUUGUUGGGUAGGGGAGCGUUCUGUAAGCCGUUGAAGGUGUGCUGUGAGGCAUGCUGGAGGUAUCAGAAGUGCGAAUGCUGACAUAAGUAACGAUAAAGCGGGUGAAAAGCCCGCUCGCCGGAAGACCAAGGGUUCCUGUCCAACGUUAAUCGGGGCAGGGUGAGUCGACCCCUAAGGCGAGGCCGAAAGGCGUAGUCGAUGGGAAACAGGUUAAUAUUCCUGUACUUGGUGUUACUGCGAAGGGGGGACGGAGAAGGCUAUGUUAGCCGGGCGACGGUUGUCCCGGUUUAAGCAUGUAGGCGGAGGUUCCAGGUAAAUCCGGUACCUUUUAACGCUGAGGUGUGAUGACGAGGCACUACGGUGCUGAAGUAACAAAUGCCCUGCUUCCAGGAAAAGCCUCUAAGCAUCAGGUAACACGAAAUCGUACCCCAAACCGACACAGGUGGUCAGGUAGAGAAUACCAAGGCGCUUGAGAGAACUCGGGUGAAGGAACUAGGCAAAAUGGUGCCGUAACUUCGGGAGAAGGCACGCUGAUAUGUAGGUGAAGCCCCUGCGGGUGGAGCUGAAAUCAGUCGAAGAUACCAGCUGGCUGCAACUGUUUAUUAAAAACACAGCACUGUGCAAACACGAAAGUGGACGUAUACGGUGUGACGCCUGCCCGGUGCCGGAAGGUUAAUUGAUGGGGUUAGCGGCAACGCGAAGCUCUUGAUCGAAGCCCCGGUAAACGGCGGCCGUAACUAUAACGGUCCUAAGGUAGCGAAAUUCCUUGUCGGGUAAGUUCCGACCUGCACGAAUGGCGUAAUGAUGGCCAGGCUGUCUCCACCCGAGACUCAGUGAAAUUGAACUCGCUGUGAAGAUGCAGUGUACCCGCGGCAAGACGGAAAGACCCCGUGAACCUUUACUAUAGCUUGACACUGAACACUGGUCCUUGAUGUGUAGGAUAGGUGGGAGGCUUUGAAGCGUGGACGCCAGUCUGCGUGGAGCCGUCCUUGAAAUACCACCCUUUAAUGGCUGGUGUUCUAACGUUGACCCGUAAUCCGGGUUGCGGACAGUGUCUGGUGGGUAGUUUGACUGGGGCGGUCUCCUCCCAAAGAGUAACGGAGGAGCACGAAGGUUAGCUAAUCCUGGUCGGACAUCAGGAGGUUAGUGCAAUGGCAUAAGCUAGCUUGACUGCGAGAGUGACGGCUCGAGCAGGUGCGAAAGCAGGUCAUAGUGAUCCGGUGGUUCUGAAUGGAAGGGCCAUCGCUCAACGGAUAAAAGGUACUCCGGGGAUAACAGGCUGAUACCGCCCAAGAGUUCAUAUCGACGGCGGUGUUUGGCACCUCGAUGUCGGCUCAUCACAUCCUGGGGCUGAAGUAGGUCCCAAGGGUAUGGCUGUUCGCCAUUUAAAGUGGUACGCGAGCUGGGUUUAGAACGUCGUGAGACAGUUCGGUCCCUAUCUGCCGUGGGCGCUGGAGAAUUGAGGGGGGCUGCUCCUAGUACGAGAGGACCGGAGUGGACGCAUCACUGGUGUUCGGGUUGUCAUGCCAAUGGCACUGCCCGGUAGCUAAAUGCGGAAGAGAUAAGUGCUGAAAGCAUCUAAGCACGAAACUUGCCCCGAGAUGAGUUCUCCCUGAGACUUUAAGUCUCCUGAAGGAACGUUGAAGACGACGACGUUGAUAGGUCGGGUGUGUAAGCGCAGCGAUGCGUUGAGCUAACCGAUACUAAUGAACCGUGAGGCUUAACCUU
rnacentral:rRNA from 1 species